AGGCGCCGCCAGUUGUGAUGGAAUAUUCUGCAAGAAAUCGCCCCUACGGGCUCAGUAAACACGUCGAAUAAUCUACCUUAGAUCUGGAAUAAGCUUCGGGAAACUGAAAGGUAAAUCCCGAAUGGAAAUCAAAAAUUGGAAAUUUCGAUUUCUAAAAAUGCAAAGUCUAAAGGAUGAGUCGGCGCCCGAUUAGGUUGUUGGUGGGGGUAAAGGCCCCACCCAAGCCAGGGAUCGGUAGGGGUCUUGAGAGAGAUAGCCUCGAGAAGGGCACUGAAACACGGGCCCUAGCCCCACGGGGUGCAGCAGGCGCGAAAACUUUACACUGCACGAAAGUGCGAUAAGGGUAACUCGAGUGCUCAUGUUUUACAUGGGCUUUUGCCAAGUGUAAACAGCUUGGCGAGUAAGUGGUGGGCAAGACUGGUGCCAGCAGCCGCGGUAACCCCAGCGCCACAAGUGGCAAUCACAUUUAUUGGGCCUAAAGCGUCCGUAGCUUGUUUAGUAAAUCUUUUGUGAAAUCAUUGGGCUUAACCCAAUGGAGGGCAAAAGACACUGCUAGACUUGAGACUGGGAGGAGUUGAGGGUAUUCUCGGUGGAGCGGUAAAAUGUUAUAAUCCCGAGAGGACCACCCGUGGCGGAGGCGCUCAACUAGAACAGUUCUGACGGUGAGGGACGAAAGCCAGGGGAGCAAACCGGAUUAGAUACCCGAGUAGUCCUGGCUGUAAACGCUGCGAGCUAGGUGUUGCAUAAUCUACGAGAUUAUGCAGUGUCGAAGUGAAGACGAUAAGCU
rnacentral:rRNA from 1 species